rnacentral:ribozyme from 1 species
UUCCAGAAAAACAAUUAAUCCCCCACCCACGAUGCCCAUUCAUGAUUCAAAUGCAAAGGAGGACAUGAGAUGAAAAAAGAGGAGGAAUAGAACAACAGACAAAGACCAAAAAAGGGAAACAGGCUUCACUCAUGGUAAUGAGAAACUUCACAACACUGCACGCGCACAGCACCCUCCCGUCUGAUGCGGCGGGAAAGAAAAGAUGGGAGAAGAAAAAAAGAGAGUCCAAGGAGAGGUGACUGAGUGAGGAGCGUAUGCUUCAACUUUAACAACAAAGAGUCAUGCAGAUAGACACAAAUUCAGGUUUGG